rnacentral:tRNA from 1 species
AUAUAAAGAUUAANCUUUUUUUAGAA